rnacentral:rRNA from 1 species
UCGGGACGGGGUGGAGUAACGCGUGGGUAACCUGCCUCAUACAGGGGGAUAACGGUUAGAAAUGACUGCUAAUACCGCAUAAGCGCACAGUACCGCAUGGUACGGUGUGAAAAACUACCGGUGGUAUGAGAUGGACCCGCGUCUGAUUAGCUGGUUGGUGAGGUAACGGCCCACCAAGGCGACGAUCAGUAGCCGACCUGAGAGGGUGACCGGCCACAUUGGGACUGAGACACGGCCCAG